GUGGGCGCCGCCGGCCCCGCCGCGCCUCGGCUUCCCCGCGGGGUCACCGGUCCCCUCGAGCCCCAGAUUCAGCUGCCCGUGCUCCGAUCGUGGGCCGUGGAGGGAUGGCCGUCCAGCCGCCGGCUGAUGAGGUCCCGAACUGAUUCGAAGGAAACGAAAAUGCAGACGAGGGUGUGUGGACAAACAGCCCACGCUGGGGAGGUCCUCCUGGCGUGAGAUUCAGGAUGAAUCCUUCUCCAGGGCGUUCAUCGCAGCAGACCUGACAACGUGAGACUCUGGAAGUGACCCCAGUGUUAACAGCAGGACCCUGUAAAGGAACCUCUGUCUACACCGGCUUCACCAGGCAUGGACCGGUGAACACUUAACCCCACAGGCAAGGGCCCCGCAGUCGCCGCUCCUCGGGGAGCACAUCGGAGUCCCGGGCCCGACCUGCUGGCUUAGGAGAGAAGCCUGGUGAAAAUCAUAGGGCAGUGGGUUUGCUUUAAUAUCUCCAUUCAUUACUUUUUUACCUACAAAUCUCAUUGCUUAUUUCUUUGCGUAAUUACUUCUUUGUUUAGUUAGUUCUUAACUUCGUUUUCUUUGCUUCUUUCUUUCCCCCAGUUAGUAUAUGUAUAUGCCUUUAAGCGUUUGCAAUUUAUUUGUUGUUUUUGAAAUUAAUGGGACAUUCCUGUUGCAAUGGACGUUGUUAUCCCCACCGGACAGAUGAAGAAACUGAGGCUUAUGGAGGUUGGUGGUUUGCUCUCCUUCGCAGCACAUUUCGUGUGUCUUACAGGAGUGGACGGGCAGCCCCGCAGGGCAGGAGCUGAUGCUUCCUGCUUGUCUCCAUGUCCCGGUGCCUGGCACUCAGGAUCUGCAACGUUUGUUGAUUGAUUACAAAACCGGCAUCAUCGCCCAGAAACUAUGAAUGUUGCUAUAGUUAUAAUUCUGAUGACUACCAAAUUUUAUAGGGAUUCUAUAAAGGUUGUACCUAUUUGUCCUCCCAACAGAAGCUUGAGUCUCAUUUCCCCACAUCCUGGCCGAUCCGGGCAGAGACCCAGAGAUGAGAAGGGCCUGGGAAUGUGGAGGCCUGAGUGGCGGGAGUAAGAUGAGAGGAGACGGGAAGGAGGUAGAGUCGAAG